GACGAACGCUGGCGGCGUGCUUAACACAUGCAAGUCGAACGGAAAGGCCCUGCUUUUGUGGGGUGCUCGAGUGGCGAACGGGUGAGUAACACGUGAGUAACCUGCCCUUGACUUUGGGAUAACUUCAGGAAACUGGGGCUAAUACCGGAUAGGAGCUCCUGCUGCAUGGUGGGGGUUGGAAAGUUUCGGCGGUUGGAGAUGGACUCGCGGCUUAUCCGCUUGUUGGUGGGGUAGUGGCUUACCAAGGCUUUGACGGGUAGCCGGCCUGAGAGGGUGACCGGCCACAUGGGUACUGAGAGACGGCCCAGACUCCUACGGGAGGCAGCAGUGGGGAAUAUUGCACAAUGGGCGGAAGCCUGAUGCAGCAACGCCGCGUGCGGGAUGACGGCCUUCGGGGUGUAAACCGCUUUGGCCGGUGACAAAGAGGGAGUGACGGUAAUGGGUAAAGAAGCACCGGCUAACUACGUG
rnacentral:rRNA from 1 species